AAAGAGCUAAGUAUUCCAGUAAGACAUGACAAGCAGGUCUAGUACAUCUAAUAUAGGACUGGAGAGAACCAUUAUCUGAUCUACUCUACACAGGACUGGAGAGAACUGCUAUCUGAUCUACUCUACACAGGACUGGAGAGAACUGCUAUCUGAUCUACUCUACACAGGACUGGAGAGAACUGCUAUCUGAUCUACUCUACACAGGACUGGAGAGAACUGCUAUCUGAUCUACUCUAC